rnacentral:rRNA from 1 species
GUGCCAGCCGCCGCGGUAAAACGUAGGAGGCGAGCGUUAUCCGGAUUUACUGGGUGUAAAGCGCGUGCAGGCGGUUAGCUAAGUUGGGUGUGAAAGCUCCUGGCUCAACUGGGAGAGGUCGCUCAAGACUGGCUGACUCGAGGGUGACAAGGGAAGGUGGAAUUCCGGGUGUAGUGGUGAAAUGCGUAGAUAUCCGGAGGAACACCAGUGGCGAAGGCGGCCUUCUGGGUCAUCACUGACGCUCAGACGCGAAAGCUAGGGUAGCAAACGGGAUUAGAUACCCCCGUAGUCC